GGAAUGUGAUGAUUCAUAGUAAUCGAACGAAUCGCAGGUAUAUGCGAUAAGUCAUUCAAGUUUCUGCCCUAUCAGCUUUGGAUGGUAGUGUAUUGGACUACCAUGGCAGUCACGGGUAACGGAGAAUUAGGGUUCGAUUCCGGAGAGGGAGCCUGAGAAACGGCUACCACAUCUACGGAAGGCAGCAGGCGCGCAAAUUGCCCAAUCCUGACACGGGGAGGCAGUGACAAGAAAUAACAACUCUAGGAUUUCUUAGAAGUGUAAUGAGGAUAAUUUACAAACCUUACCGAAUGCAAUUGGAGGGCAAGUCUGGUGCCAGCAGCCGCGGUAAUUCCAGCUCCAAUAGCGUAUAUUAAAGUUGUUGCAGUUAAAAAGACUCGUAGUUGAAGUUCUGAUUGCUCAGGUUUCCAGCCUUAGGCGGAGAUACUGACAGUCAUCCGCUUGCAAACAUAUGUUCGAUCUUCACCGGUUGGCUAUGUGAGUAAGCACUUUACCUUGAG
rnacentral:rRNA from 1 species